UGGGGAAACUACUGGCUGGAGCGCUAAAUCAGCCAGCUUACCAGCCAUGGGGCAGACAGUGACCAGGGAAGGGAAUCAGAGGCACAGCUGUACUCAGACAGUGAAUGAGACAUCACCACCAAGCAACUGAAGCGCUGAUCAAAGGGGAGAGCCUGGCGGAAGGGCAAUCCACCCGCCUGAGGGGAGAAGCAUCGAAGGGUGUGGUCAAAACAGCGAAUAAGAUGUGAGGAAGCUUAAGGAAUAGGAUGGAGACCAAUAGAGAAAAUAUAAUGGCAUUAUAUAGACCAGCGCUGCAGCCUCCUUCUGCAUCCUGCAUGCCGUGCUGGACACCCCGGCUCAAAAGACUGCUGCAGAGCUAGCACAAGUUUGAAGGAGGGGGACAAAAAUGAUCAAGAGCUUGGAAAAAUGCCAUGUUGGCUGAAUGUUGGGAAGGAAAGUGGGCAUGGACAGCUGGCAGCUGGGGCAAAGGACAGAUUGGAAAUCUACUGAGUACCUGUGUCCCCAUCUCCAGAAAGCCUGCAUGAUGCUUGGACAAAUCCACAUUUCCCACUCCCCUGCUGUCAGU